rfam:Ciona savignyi cont_7287, whole genome shotgun sequence.
GGGGGCGUAGCUCAGAUGGUAGAGCGCGCGCUUAGCAUGCACGAGGUACCGGGAUCGAUACCCGGCACCUCCA